CCUACGGGUGGCAGCAGUGAGGAAUAUUGGUCAAUGGACGCAAGUCUGAACCAGCCAUGCCGCGUGCAGGAUGACGGCUCUAUGAGUUGUAAACUGCUUUUGUACGAGGGUAAACUACGAUACGUGUAUCGGGUUGAAAGUAUCGUACGAAUAAGGAUCGGCUAAUUCCGUGCCAGCAGCCGCGGUAAUACGGAGGACCCGAGCGUUAUCCGGAUUUAUUGGGUUUAAAGGGUGCGUAGGCGGUUUGCUAAGUUAGCGGUGAAAUGUCGGGGCUCAACCCCGAGACUGCCUCUAAUACUGGUGGGCUGGAGUGUAGUUGCGGUAGGCGGAAUGUAUGGUGUAGCGGUGAAAUGCUUAGAGAUCAUGCAGAACACCGAUUGCGAAGGCAGCUUACCAAACUGUAACUGACGUUGAGGCACGAAAGCGUGGGUAGCAAACAGGAUUAGAUACCCGGGUAGUC
rnacentral:rRNA from 1 species